GGCGUGUCGGGACUUUGACUGAGAACAUAGGGAGAGAAAGACAGCCUGAGGAAACGGGCCUCACUGCUGGGAAGGGGCCAAAGACAAGAGGGGCUCCAGAUCCCUUGGGGGGCCAGAGCCAGGGGCCUUCUACUGCCUCGGGAGAAUCCUAAUCACACUGGAGCAGCUGGAGCUUGAUUUCCACCCUCAGCGAUGCCUUCUGACAUUUAAUGAGUGGGGACAGAACCCUCCAGAAGCCACCAGGGUGACACCAGCUACCCACCUCCUCCAGAUGGCCAGCACACUCAGGAUGACACCAGCUACCCACCUCCUCCAGAUGGCCAGCACACUCAUCACAGAGCCCAGGACCAGGAGGGCUGAGAUGGUAACUACGGUGACAACCACUGCAGGGCUCUGAUCCCUGGACCCAGAAGCAGCUAUG